rnacentral:rRNA from 1 species
AUUGAACGCUGGCGGCAGGCUUAACACAUGCAAGUCGAGCGGGGUGAUGGUGCUUGCACUAUCACUUAGCGGCGGACGGGUGAGUAAUGCUUAGGAAUCUGCCUAUUAGUGGGGGACAACAUCUCGAAAGGGAUGCUAAUACCGCAUACGUCCUACGGGAGAAAGCAGGGGAUCACUUGUGACCUUGCGCUAAUAGAUGAGCCUAAGUCGGAUUAGCUAGUUGGUGGGGUAAAGGCCUACCAAGGCGACGAUCUGUAGGGGGUCUGAGAGGAUGAUCCGCCACACUGGGACUGAGACACGGCCCAGAAUCCUACGGGAGGCAGCAGUGGGGAAUAUUGGACAAUGGGGGGAGCCCUGAUCCAGCCAUGCCGCGUGUGUGAAGAAGGCCUUAUGGUUGUAAAGCACUUUAAGCGAGGAGGAGGCUCUUUUGGUUAAUACCCAAGAUGAGUGGACGUUACUCGCAGAAUAAGCACCGGCUAACUCUGUGCCAGCCGCCGCGGUAA